rnacentral:rRNA from 1 species
CGGCGAACGGGUGAGUAACGCGUAGGAAUCUGCCUUUCAGUGAGGAAUACUCUCGAGAAAUCGAGGUUAAUACUGCAUACGUCUUGAAAAAGAGAAAGAUGGCCUCUUGCUGUCGCUGAAAGAUGAGCCUGCGUACUAUUAGCUAGUUGGUGGGGUAAAGGCCUACCAAGGCGAUGAUGGUUAGCCGGCCUGAGAGGGCGUACGGCCACACUGGAACUUAGACACGGUCCAG